rnacentral:lncRNA from 1 species
AUAGAAAAUAAGGAAACAGCACAAACAAGCCACUCACGUCACUGCAUUAGAUAGCGGGUAAAAUGGGACAAAACAAGUAGGCCGUAAACAAACAUACCUCCCCUGCAUAAUGGCAUACUGUAAAAGCCUUCCCUCGUUCACCUCUGAAACAAAGAUUAGAAUUUAGAUGCUGCUUCAGUUUGUCGGCAAAUGACAUGUCUGUGCCAUUAGGAAAGGUCGACUCCUCGUCUAACAAAGAUAACAAACCCAAUGGCUUCUGCAUAAAAGGGAUAAGAGAAGUUUCAGUAAGCUAAACCAGGAGUUUGUUGGCAAAUGACAUGUCUGUGCCAUUAGGAAAGGUCGACUCUUCGUCUAACAGAGAUAACAAACCCAGUGGUUUCU